rnacentral:rRNA from 1 species
GCCUCAGUAACGGCGAGUGAAGCGGCAACAGCUCAAAUUUGAAAUCUGGCCGCAAGGUCCGAGUUGUAAUUUGUAGAGGAUGCUUUUGGCGAGGUGCCUUCCGAGUUCCCUGGAACGGGACGCCAUAGAGGGUGAGAGCCCCGUACGGUAGGACCACCAAGCCUCUGUAAAGCUCCUUCGACGAGUCGAGUAGUUUGGGAAUGCUGCUCUAAAUGGGAGGUGUACGUCUUCUAAAGCUAAAUACCGGCCAGAGACCGAUAGCGCACAAGUAGAGUGAUCGAAAGAUGAAAAGCACUUUGAAAAGAGGGUUAAAAAGUACGUGAAAUUGUUGAAAGGGAAGCAUUCAUGACCAGACUUGGGCUUGGUUGAACAUCCGGCGUUCUCGCCGGUGCACUCUGCCAGUCCAGGCCAGCAUCAGUUUGCCCCGGGGGAUAAAGGCGGCGGGAAUGUGGCUCCCUUCGGGGAGUGUUAUAGCCCGUCGUGUAAUGCCCUGGGGCGGACUGAGGAACGCGCUUCGGCACGGAUGCUGGCGUAAUGGUCAUCAAUGACCCGUCUUGAAACACGGACCAAGGAGUCGUCUUCGUAUGCGAGUGUUCGGGUGUCAAACCCCUACGCGUAAUGAAAGUGAACGUAGGUGAGAGCUUCGGCGCAUCACCGACCGAUCCUGAUGUUCUCGGAUGGAUUUGAGUAAGAGCAUACGGGGCCGGACCC